CUCAUUUGAUAGUGAGCGGUGAUCAGAGGCACUGGGGUGAGUUCAUCACGCCUGGUCUCUUGUUCUUGUACAUCGCUGGAUGGAUCGGGUGGGUUGGAAGGAGCUACCUCAUUGCUAUUAGCGAUGAUAAGAAGCCUGCCAUGAAGGAGAUCAUCAUUGACGUGCCUUUGGCUACCGGUCUUAUCUUUAGAGGCUUUAUUUGGCCUGUCGCUGCUUACAGAGAGCUUAUCAAUGGUGACCUUGUUGUCAAGGACGUUUAAUCUCCUCAGGUCCUUCUUCUCUUUCUCUUCAAAAAAAUUCCCCUUUUUUUUUGUUUUUUUUAUACAGUAAUUCAAGCAUGUUUUUGCCUUAUAGUGUAAGGGUUAACAUGUGUUGGCCAUAUUCCAUCUAAUUAUGUUGAACCUUACUAUUCUAAAGUAGUAAAUUAGUAAUCUGAAAUAGUGUCAUAAAACCUUGCAAUCUUAUAUUCCGAAUCCAAUUUUCCAACCCAAAAUUCGGUAUUUCAUUUAUUAAUCAUGUUAGCAACAAUUUUUUUAUUUAAAAAAUAUCACAUUAAACUUCAAUUAUUGAAUCAAAUAAUAGAUUCUUGAGAUUAAAAGUAGAAGUAGUAAUUUCAAAUGUGUAGAAGGUAAAGGGAUCGAGAGUAAAUUAUACCACCAUACAUCUAAGCUUAUAUGAUUAUAACUCGUCUUAUUGUCGUUGUAAUAUUCUAAAUUUUAAAAGGAAGGGUGAAAUUAAUGAAGAAAGGAAAUAGAAGAACAUACAAAUUGCCUUCAUUUUCUUGGUGUAUUAAUUUUGGUUUUUAUUUUUACAGGGAUCGAAUGGAAGGACUUGAACUCCAAGGAAUAGCUAGGGAAGAAGAUGGGAGUGCUUUUAGACUGAAUAUUCUUGGUGGGAAAUUUCUUGUACUUAAAAA
rnacentral:lncRNA from 1 species